UAUCGGUAUGGGAUGGGGUCGCGUCCUAUCAGCUUGAUGGCGGGGUAACGGCCCACCAUGGCUUCGACGGGUAGCCGGCCUGAGAGGGCGACCAGCCACAUUGGGACUGAGAUACGGCCCAGACUCCUACGGGAGGCAGCAGUGGGGAAUAUUGCACAAUGGGCGCAAGCCUGAUGCAGCGACGCCGCGUGCGGGAUGACGGCCUUCGGGUUGUAAACCGCUUUUGACUGGGAGCAAGCCCUUCGGGGUGAGUGUACCUUUCGAAUAAGCACCGGCUAACUACGUGCCAGCAGCCGCGGUAAUACGUAGGGUGCAAGCGUUAUCCGGAAUUAUUGGGCGUAAAGGGCUCGUAGGCGGUUCGUCGCGUCCGGUGUGAAAGUCCAUCGCUUAACGGUGGAUCCGCGCCGGGUACGGGCGGG
rnacentral:rRNA from 1 species